ACGGGUGAGGAGCACAUCGGAAUCUGCCCGGUUGUGGGGGAUAACGUAGGGAAACUUACGCUAAUACCGCAUACGAUCGAGAGAUGAAAGCGGGGGACCGUAAGGCCUCGCGCAGUCGGAUGAGCCGAUGUCGGAUUAGCUAGUUGGUGGGGUAAAGGCCUACCAAGGCGACGAUCCGUAGCUGGUCUGAGAGGAUGAUCAGCCACACUGGGACUGAGACACGGCCCAGACUCCUACGGGAGGCAGCAGUGGGGAAUAUUGGACAAUGGGGGCAACCCUGAUCCAGCAAUGCCGCGUGUGUGAAGAAGGCCUUCGGGUUGUAAAGCACUUUUAUCCGGAACGAAACGUGUCGGGUUAACAGCCCGGCAAACUGACGGUACCGGAGGAAUAAGCACCGGCUAACUUCGUGCCAGCAGCCGCGGUAAUACGAAGGGUGCAAGCGUUACUCGGAAUUACUGGGCGUAAAGGGUGCGUAGGUGGUUUGUUAAGUCUGCUGUGAAAUCCCCGGGCUCAACCUGGGAAUGGCAGUGGAUACUGGCAAGCUGGAGUGCGGUAGAGGGUAGUGGAAUUCCCGGUGU
rnacentral:rRNA from 1 species